UACGAAGGGGGCUAGCGUUGUUCGGAUUUACUGGGCGUAAAGCGCACGUAGGCGGAUUGUUAAGUCAGGGGUGAAAUCCUGGAGCUCAACUCCAGAACUGCCUUUGAUACUGGCAAUCUUGAGUCCGGAAGAGGUGAGUGGAACUCCUAGUGUAGAGGUGGAAUUCGUAGAUAUUAGGAAGAACACCAGUGGCGAAGGCGGCUCACUGGUCCGGUACCGACGCUGAGGUGCGAAAGCGUGGGGAGCAAACAGG
rnacentral:rRNA from 1 species